rnacentral:tRNA from 1 species
CGGGGUGUGGUGUAACGCAAGCAUCCGAGUCUUGGGCACUCGUGGCGACAGUUCAAUUCUGUCCACCCCGACCA